rnacentral:rRNA from 1 species
GUGGGGAAUCUUGCGCAAUGGGCGAAAGCCUGACGCAGCCAUGCCGCGUGAAUGAUGAAGGUCUUAGGAUUGUAAAAUUCUUUCACCGGGGACGAUAAUGACGGUACCCGGAGAAGAAGCUCCGGCUAACUUCGUGCCAGCAGCCGCGGUAAUACGAAGGGGGCUAGAGUUGCUCGGAAUUACUGGGCGUAAAGGGCGCGUAGGCGGACAGCUUAGUCAGAGGUGAAAGCCCAGGGCUCAACCUUGGAAUUGCCCUUGAUACUGGCUGUCUUGAGUGUGGGAGAGGUGAGUGGAACUCCGAGUGUAGAGGUGAUAUUCGUAGAUAUUCGGAAGAACACCAGUGGCGAAGGCGACUCACUGGCCCAAUACUGACGCUGAGGCGCGAAAGCGUGGGGAGCAAACAGGAUUAGAUACCCCAGUAGUCC